GACGAACGCUGGCGGCGUGCUUAACACAUGCAAGUCGAACGGGAUUUCGUAAACAGAAGCCUCGGUGGAAGAUUACUAAUGAGAGUGGCGAACGGGUGAGUAACGCGUGAGCAACCUGCCUAUGACAGUGGGAUAGCCUCGGGAAACCGGGAUUAAUACCGCAUAAAAUCGUAGAAACACAUGUUUUAACGGUCAAAGAUUUAUCGGUCAUAGAUGGGCUCGCGUCUGAUUAGCUAGUUGGUGAGAUAACAGCCCACCAAGGCGACGAUCAGUAGCCGGUCUGAGAGGAUGAACGGCCACAUUGGAACUGAGACACGGUCCAAACUCCUACGGGAGGCAGCAGUGGGGAAUAUUGCACAAUGGGGGAAACCCUGAUGCAGCGACGCCGCGUGAACGAAGAAGGUAUUCGUAUCGUAAAGUUCUGUCCUAUGGGAAGAUAAUGACAGUACCAUAGAAGAAAGCUCCGGCUAAAUACGUG
rnacentral:rRNA from 1 species